UCAGGAUGAACGCUGGCGGUAUGCUUAACACAUGCAAGUCGAACGGGAUGCUUAGGCAUCUAGUGGCGGACGGGUGAGUAACGCGUGAGAAUCUGGCUCCAGGUCGGGGAUAACAGUUGGAAACGACUGUUAAUACCGGAUGUGCCGAAAGGUGAAAGAUUUAUUGCCUGGAGAUGAGCUCGCGUCUGAUUAGCUAGUUGGUGGUGUAAGGGACCACCAAGGCAUCGAUCAGUAGCUGGUCUGAGAGGAUGAUCAGCCACACUGGGACUGAGACACGGCCCAGACUCCUACGGGAGGCAGCAGUGGGGAAUUUUCCGCAAUGGGCGAAAGCCUGACGGAGCAAUACCGCGUGAGGGAGGAAGGCUCUUGGGUCGUAAACCUCUUUUCUCAAGGAAGAAGAAAGUGACGGUACUUGAGGAAUAAGCAUCGGCUAACUCCGUGCCAGCAGCCGCGGUAAUACGGAGGAUGCAAGCGUUAUCCGGAAUGAUUGGGCGUAAAGGGUCUGCAGGUGGAACUGAAAGUCUGCUGUUAAAGAGUUUGGCUUAACCAAAUAAAAGCGGUGGAAACUACAGAACUAGAGUGUGGUAGGGGCAAAAGGAAUUCCUGGUGUAGCGGUGAAAUGCGUAGAUAUCAGGAAGAACACCGGUGGCGAAAGCGUUUUGCUAGACCAUAACUGACACUGAGGGACGAAAGCUAGGGGAGCGAAUGGGAUUAGAUACCCCAGUAGUCCUAGCCGUAAACGAUGGAUACUAGGCGUGGCUUGUAUCGACCCGAGCCGUGCCGGAGCUAACGCGUUAAGUAUCCCGCCUGGGGAGUACGCACGCAAGUGUGAAACUCAAAGGAAUUGACGGGGGCCCGCACAAGCGGUGGAGUAUGUGGUUUAAUUCGAUGCAACGCGAAGAACCUUACCAAGACUUGACAUCCUGCGAAUCCUGGUGAAAGCUGGGAGUGCCUUCGGGAGCGCAGAGACAGGUGGUGCAUGGCUGUCGUCAGCUCGUGUCGUGAGAUGUUGGGUUAAGUCCCGCAACGAGCGCAACCCUCGUUUUUAGUUGCCAGCAUUAAGUUGGGCACUCUAGAGAGACUGCCGGUGACAAACCGGAGGAAGGUGAGGAUGACGUCAAGUCAGCAUGCCCCUUACGUCUUGGGCUACACACGUACUACAAUGCUACGGACAGAGGGCAGCAAGCCAGGGAUGGCAAGCGAAUCCAGAAACCGUAGCUCAGUUCAGAUCGAAGGCUGCAACUCGCCUUCGUGAAGGAGGAAUCGCUAGUAAUUGCAGGUCAGCAUACUGCAGUGAAUUCGUUCCCGGGCCUUGUACACACCGCCCGUCACACCAUGGAAGUUGGUCACGCCCGAAGUCAUUACCCCAACCGAAAGGAGGGGGAUGCCUAAGGUAGGACUGGUGACUGGGGUGAAGUCGUAACAAGGUAGCCGUACCGGAAGGUGUGGCUGGAUCACCUCCUUUA
rnacentral:rRNA from 1 species